AAAGCAGUGUUCUACCUGCACUGUGUAUAGUGCGAGUGGAGCACUGCUGACU
ensembl:miRNA